UGGGAUAGCUCAGUUGGUAGAGCAGAGGACUGAAAAUCCUCGUGUCACC
rnacentral:tRNA from 2 species